UAGGGAAUCUUCCACAAUGGACGAAAGUCUGAUGGAGCAACGCCGCGUGAGUGAAGAAGGGUUUCGGCUCGUAAAACUCUGUUGUUAAAGAAGAACAUAUCUGAGAGUAACUGUUCAGGUAUUGACGGUAUUUAGCCAGAAAGCCACGGCUAACUACGUGCCAA
rnacentral:rRNA from 1 species